AAUAAUAAUCAACGACAACAACUCCAAACCCGACUGGCCCCCUCUUCUCAACUCAUCUCCCAUACCCGCAACAAAAACUUGACCCGACCUAAAAACACCCAUAUCCCUCAAUUCCGACCCGUCGACCCGAACAACAUCCAACAGCCGCGAAUUCCCUUAAACUUUCAACCUUAUUCGAUUUUCAAAUUUGAAAAUCAAAAUGGUAUUUACAUAGUACUAUUUCCAGCUCAUUCCUAUCCCCAUUUUUGGAGUUUUCUCUCAAAAUUCCCAAAACUCCCUUAAUGUUUCCCCCCAUAUUGGUGGAGCAGAAGUUACUCCCCAUUAUUAUUAUCUAUAAAUAGUUCAUUCUUGAGCUAAAAGAAGGGGGACUGGAGGGGUUGAAAAAAAUCUUUGAGCAAAAUCAACCCAUUUUUAGUAAAGAUUUUUUUUUUUAUAUAAAAUUGAUUGGCUAAUUGAAGUUUCUGAGUUGACGGUGAUAUUUUUUUUGUGGUGGUUGAUAUCGACAAAACUCGUAGUCUCAUUUUGCUGCCUUGAAAAAGGUGAACACGCCUCUCCCUUUUGUUUUUGUUUUUAUUACUGAUUUCUUCUUCAUCUCUUUCUCUGUAGCAAUAUUUGUUUAGUUGCAGGCGUGAAUGAGGCUGGGAUUGUUUGCUGUAGAGGCUUUGAUGGCCAUAGCAUUUGCUUGUGAUGACUAUCUUUAUGUCGUUAUUGCUUCGCAUUACUAUUUGUGAUGAUUCUUUAUUCAUUAUUUAGCUUUAUGUUGUUAUGUUAGGCUAUUGUUGUCAUAUAACUCAAAUGAUAGUUUGUUAUGUUUGUGGGUUGUAAUUUCACUUAGUUUUGUCAAUAUAGUGCAAAAUCUUUAUUUUUUAGUUCUAGUAUGUUGUUUGUGGCUUAAUCGUUGCUCGUUGUGGUUUCGAUUUUAUUGUUUUAAUUUAGAUUCAUUUUAGUUCUAUGGAAAAUUGCUUUACUUAUGCAAGUUUUCCUCUAUGAUGUAUAGUCGGAUCGCUCCUAAGUGUUCCUUGACCCUUAAUGUCAAUGAAAAAGAUGGAGUCGAUUUAUAAGUCAAAAAAUUUCAAUCCAAAGAUCCCUUUAUUUGUGGCUUAAUCAUUUCUUGUUGUGGUUUUGAUUUUGUUGUUUUAAUUCGAGUUAAUUUUAGUUCUUUGGAAAAUUGCUUUAGUUGUGCAAGUUUUCCUCUUUGAUGUAUAGUCGGAUCGCUCCUAAGUGUUCCUUGACCCUUAAUGUCAAUGGAAAAAAUGGAGUCGGUUUAUAAGCCCAAAAAUUUCAACCCAAAGAUUCCUUUAUUUGUGGCUUAAUCGUUGCUCGUUGUGAUUUCGAUUUUGUUGUUUUAAUUUGGGUUCAUUUUAGUUUUUUGAAAAAUUGCUUUAGUUGUGCAAGUUUUUCUCUUUUAUGUAUAGUUGGAUCGUCCCUAAGUGUUCCUUGACCCCUAAUGUCAAUGGAAAAGAUGGAAUCGGUUUAUAAGCCAAAAAAUUUAAAUACGAAGAUCCCUUUAUUUAUGGCUUAAUCGUUGCUCAUUGUGGUUUUGAUUUUAUUGUUUUAAUUCGGAUUCAUUUUAGAUCUUUGAAAAAUUGCUUUAGUUGUGCAAGUUUUCCUCUUUGAUGUAUAGUCGGAUCGCUCUUAAGUGUUCCUUGACCCUUAAUGUCAAUGGAAAUGAUGAAGUCGGUUUAUAAGCCAAAAAAUUUCAACCCAAAGAUUUCUUUAUUUGUGGCUUAACCGUUGCUCAUUGUGGUUUCGAUUUUGUUGUUUUAAUUCGGGUUCAUUUUAGUUCUUUGGAAAAUUGCUUUAGUUGUGCAAGUUUUCCUCUUCGAAAUCGCUCCUAAGUGUUCCUUGACCCUUAAUGUCAAUGAAAAAGAUGGAGCCGGUUUAUAAGCCAAAAAUUUCAACCCGAAGAUCCCUUUAUUUGUGGCUUAAUUGUUGCUCGUUGUGGUUUCGAUUUUGUUGUUUUAAUUCGGGUUCAUUUUAGUUCUUUGGAAAAAUGCUUUAGUUAUGCAAGUUGUCCUCUUUGAUGUAUAGUCGGAUCGCUCCUAAGUGUUCCUUGAUCCCUAAUGUCAAUGGAAAAGAUGGAGUCGGUUUACAAGUAAAAAAAUUUCAACCCGAAGAUCCCUUUAUUUGUGGCUUAAUCUUUGCUCGUUGUGGUUUUGAUUUUAUUGUUUUAAUUUGGGUUCAUUUUAGUGCUUUGGAAAAAUGCUUUAGUUGUGCAAGUUUUCCUCUUUGAUGCAUAGUUAGAUCGCUCCUAAGUAUUCCUUGACCCUUAAUGUCAAUGGAAAAGAUGGAGCCGGUUUAUAAGCCAAAAAAUUCCAACCCAAAGAUUCCUUUAUUUGUGGCUUAAUCGUUGCUCGUUAUGGUUUCGAUUUUGUUGUUUUAAUUUAGGUUCAUUUUAGUUCUUUGAAAAAUUGCUUUAGUUGUGCAAGUUUUCCUCUUUGAUGUAUAGUCGAAUCGCUCCUAAGUGUUCCUUGACCCUUAAUGUCAAUGGAAAAGAUGGAGUCAAUUUAUAAGCCAAAAAAUUCAAUCUGAAGAUCCCUUUGUUUGUGGCUUAAUCGUUGCUCGUUGUGGUUUUGUUUUUGUUGUUUCAAUUCGGGUUCAUUUUUAGUUCUUUGAAAAAUUUCUUUAGUUGGGCAAGUUUUCCUCUUUGAUGCAUAGUCGGACCGCUCCUAACCGUUCCUUGACCUUUAAUGUCAAUGAAAAAAGUGGAGUCGGUUUAGAGCUAAUCCUAAAGAUAAUUUUUCACUACCCAACAUCUACAUCCUCAUUGAUAAUUGUGCAUUUUUAGUGGAUUAUUUCGCUGGGUAUCAUUAGAUAUUAGUGGAUUAGGGAGAUACAGAAAAUAUGGUUUUCAUUAUGCCCUGGAGUGUUUAUCAUUACAGGGUGAUGCCGUUUGAUCUCAAGAAUGCUGGUUCGACAUACAUGAGGGCUAUGACAAUAAUUUUUCAUGAUAUGAUUCAUAAAGAGAUUGAGUUGUACGUGGAUGAUGUAAUCAUGAAAUCCCGCAAGAGUUCAGACCAUCUGACCCAUCUGGAAAAGCUCUUCAACAGACUAAGAAAGUACAACUUGAAGUUGAAUCCCGCUAAAAAAGCUUUUGGUGUGCCAUUUGGGAAAUUAUUGGGGUUUAUAGUCAGCAGAAGGAGCAUCAAGCUAGACCCAUCUAAUAUUAAGAUAAUUCAGGAUUUACCAUAGCCAAGAAUGGAAAAAGAGGUUAUGAUUUUCUUAGGUCCUUUGAAUUACAUUAGCUGGUUCAUUGCCCAAUCAACAGUUAUAUGCUAGCCAAUUCUGAUGAUGUUGAAGAAAGAUGCAGUGAAUGAAUGGGCAAAAGAAUGUUAAUAACUUUUGACAGAAUUAAGGAAUAUCCAUCUGCUCCGCUUGUUUUGGUUCCACCGAAGGAAGAAAGUCUGUUGUUGCUUUACCUUUCAGUCUCAGACAAUUCUUUCAAAUGUGUCCUUGGGCAACAUGAUGAGAUUGGUAAGAAAGAGAGAACAAUCUUCUACUUGAGCAAAAAGUUUAUGCCACAUGAGGCUCGCUACACUCUUGUAGAAAGAACAUGUUGUGCUUUGACCUGGGCCGCACAAAAGUUGAGGCAUUAUCUAUCCGCGUACACAACAUAUAUCAUUUUCAAAAUGGAUCCAUUGAAGUAUAUAUUUUAGAAAACCAUGCCUAUAGGAAAGUUAUCCAAGUUGCAAAUAUUGCUGAGUGAGUUCGACAUUGUGUAUGUGACUCAAAAAGCAAUCAAGGGGCAAUCCUUAGCGGAUCAUUUAGCUGAGAAUUUGGUUGAUAAUGAGUACGAGCCACUUCAAACUUACUUCCCAAAUAAGGAAAUUUUAUUCGUGGGAGAAGACAUUGCAGAAAUCUACGCCGGAUCGAGAUUGUUCUUUGAUAGAGCUUUCAACUUCAAAGGCUUAAGAAUCGGAGCAGUUUUGGUGUCAGAAACAGGCCAACACUAUCCAACAACCACUAAAUUGUGCUUCUCGUGAAUCAAUAACAUGGUUGAAUAUGAGGGUUGCAUCCUAGGUCUCAAGUUGGCACUUGAUAUGGGAGUUCAUGAAUUGCUAGUCAUCGGAGACUCAGAUUUGUCGAUUCACCAGGUAUGGAGGGAAUGGGCAGUAAAGAACUCCAAGAUUACUCUUUAUGUAGAGCUGGUGCAGGAUUUGUGUGGAAGAUUCAAGAAAGUUGAUUUCAGACAUAUCCCGAGGAUACAAAAUGAUUUUGCUGAUACUUUGGCUACUGUAUCCUCUAUGAUUCAGCACUCAGAUCAGAGUUACAUUGAUCUUUAAGAAAUAAGCUUGAAGGAACAAUCCGUACAUUGUGCGCACGUCGAAGAGGACCUUCACGAAAAGCCAUGGUACUAUGAUAUCAAGGUAUUUAGAGUCUGGAAUAUAUCCUGAAAAGUCCAGCAACAAUCAAAAGAAGACCAUCCAGCCUUUGGCGAUGAAUUAUUUUCUAAAUGAGGAAAUACUUUUUAGGAGAACUCCAAACUUAGGAUUCUUAAGAUGUGUCGAUGCCAUGGAAGCCAUGAAAUUAAUAAAGGAAGUACACACCGGAGUCUACAGGCCCCACAUGAAUGGGUUUUCCCUUGACAGAAAGAUCCUGAGAACUGGUUACUUCUGGAUGACUAUGGAAAAUGAUUGUAGCAAGUAUGUGCAGAAGUGCCCAAAAUGCCAUAUACACGGAGAUUUGAUUCGAAUGCCUCCACAUGAGCUUUAUGCGAUGAGUUUACCUUGGCCUUUCGUAGCUUGGGGUAUGGAUGUUAUCGGACCAAUAGAGCCACCAACGUCAAAUGGGCAUAGAUUCAUUUUGGUUGCUAUUGAUUACUUCACUAAGUGGGUCAAAGAUGUUUCAUAUAAAGCCAUCACCAAGAAGGUGUUUGUGGAUUUUAUCAAGAAUAACUUGAUUUGCCGAUUUGGAGUGCCAAAAUCAAUCAUUGAUGAUAAUGGGGAUAACUUGAACAUUCACUUGAUGAAUAAGAUUUGUGAUCAGUUCAAGAUUGUUCAUCACAACUCGACCGCAUAUCGUCCACAGAUGAAUGGAGCUGUGGAAGUUGCCAAUAAGAACAUCAAGAAGAUAUUGAGGAAGAUGGUUGAAAAUGAUAGAUCAUGGCAUGAGGUGUUUCCUUAUGCUCUGCUAGGGUAUCGCACGAUAAUUCAAACCUCAAUUGGGGCUACCCCUUAUCUACUUGUGUAUAGGAAUGAAGUCGUGAUACCUGUCGAGGUUGAAAUACCUUUCUUAAGGAUUAUUCAAGAAGCCAGAUUAAGUAAUGAAGAAUGGAUUCACGCUCGCUAUGAAUAACUCAUAUUGAUUGAUGAGAAGAGAAUAGUUGUCGUGUGUCAUGGUCAGUUGUAUCAACACAGAAUGAUCCAUUCCUUCAACAAGAAAGUAAGAAAUCAAAAAUUUGAAGUUGGGAAAUUAGUUCCCAAACGCAUAUUUACUCACCAAGAAGAGUACAAAGGCAAGUUCACUCUAAAUUAUCAAGGACCAUACAUAGUUCGCAAGGUACUANNNNNNNNNNNNNNNNNNNNNNNNNNNNNNNNNNNNNNNNNNNNNNNNNNNNNNNNNNNNNNNNNNNNNNNNNNNNNNNNNNNNNNNNNNNNNNNNNNNNNNNNNNNNNNNNNNNNNNNNNNNNNNNNNNNNNNNNNNNNNNNNNNNNNNNNNNNNNNNNNNNNNNNNNNNNNNNNNNNNNNNNNNNNNNNNNNNNNNNNNNNNNNNNNNNNNNNNNNNNNNNNNNNNNNNNNNNNNNNNNNUGAGUUCGACAUUGUGUAUGUGACUCAAAAAGCAAUCAAGGGGCAAUCCUUAGCGGAUCAUUUAGCUGAGAAUUUGGUUGAUAAUGAGUACGAGCCACUUCAAACUUACUUCCCAAAUAAGGAAAUUUUAUUCGUGGGAGAAGACAUUGCAGAAAUCUACGCCGGAUCGAGAUUGUUCUUUGAUAGAGCUUUCAACUUCAAAGGCUUAAGAAUCGGAGCAGUUUUGGUGUCAGAAACAGGCCAACACUAUCCAACAACCACUAAAUUGUGCUUCUCGUGAAUCAAUAACAUGGUUGAAUAUGAGGGUUGCAUCCUAGGUCUCAAGUUGGCACUUGAUAUGGGAGUUCAUGAAUUGCUAGUCAUCGGAGACUCAGAUUUGUCGAUUCACCAGGUAUGGAGGGAAUGGGCAGUAAAGAACUCCAAGAUUACUCUUUAUGUAGAGCUGGUGCAGGAUUUGUGUGGAAGAUUCAAGAAAGUUGAUUUCAGACAUAUCCCGAGGAUACAAAAUGAUUUUGCUGAUACUUUGGCUCCUGUAUCCUCUAUGAUUCAGCACUCAGAUCAGAGUUACAUUGAUCUUUAAGAAAUAAGCUUGAAGGAACAAUCCGUACAUUGUGCGCACGUCGAAGAGGACCUUCACGAAAAGCCAUGGUACUAUGAUAUCAAGGUAUUUAGAGUCUGGAAUAUAUCCUGAAAAGUCCAGCAACAAUCAAAAGAAGACCAUCCAGCCUUUGGCGAUGAAUUAUUUUCUAAAUGAGGAAAUACUUUUUAGGAGAACUCCAAACUUAGGAUUCUUAAGAUGUGUCGAUGCCAUGGAAGCCAUGAAAUUAAUAAAGGAAGUACACACCGGAGUCUACAGGCCCCACAUGAAUGGGUUUUCCCUUGACAGAAAGAUCCUGAGAACUGGUUACUUCUGGAUGACUAUGGAAAAUGAUUGUAGCAAGUAUGUGCAGAAGUGCCCAAAAUGCCAUAUACACGGAGAUUUGAUUCGAAUGCCUCCACAUGAGCUUUAUGCGAUGAGUUUACCUUGGCCUUUCGUAGCUUGGGGUAUGGAUGUUAUCGGACCAAUAGAGCCACCAACGUCAAAUGGGCAUAGAUUCAUUUUGGUUGCUAUUGAUUACUUCACUAAGUGGGUCAAAGAUGUUUCAUAUAAAGCCAUCACCAAGAAGGUGUUUGUGGAUUUUAUCAAGAAUAACUUGAUUUGCCGAUUUGGAGUGCCAAAAUCAAUCAUUGAUGAUAAUGGGGAUAACUUGAACAUUCACUUGAUGAAUAAGAUUUGUGAUCAGUUCAAGAUUGUUCAUCACAACUCGACCGCAUAUCGUCCACAGAUGAAUGGAGCUGUGGAAGUUGCCAAUAAGAACAUCAAGAAGAUAUUGAGGAAGAUGGUUGAAAAUGAUAGAUCAUGGCAUGAGGUGUUUCCUUAUGCUCUGCUAGGGUAUCGCACGAUAAUUCAAACCUCAAUUGGGGCUACCCCUUAUCUACUUGUGUAUAGGAAUGAAGUCGUGAUACCUGUCGAGGUUGAAAUACCUUUCUUAAGGAUUAUUCAAGAAGCCAGAUUAAGUAAUGAAGAAUGGAUUCACGCUCGCUAUGAAUAACUCAUAUUGAUUGAUGAGAAGAGAAUAGUUGUCGUGUGUCAUGGUCAGUUGUAUCAACACAGAAUGAUCCAUUCCUUCAACAAGAAAGUAAGAAAUCAAAAAUUUGAAGUUGGGAAAUUAGUUCCCAAACGCAUAUUUACUCACCAAGAAGAGUACAAAGGCAAGUUCACUCUAAAUUAUCAAGGACCAUACAUAGUUCGCAAGGUACUAUCCGGAGGAGCUCUGAUUUUAUCUGAGAUGGAUAGUCAAAAGUGGACCAAACCAAUCAAUUUUGAUGCGGUAAAAAGAUACUAUGUUUGAAGGAUGUUUUGGUUUCUUAUUUCCUUGGUUUAUUUGUAAUCGCCUUUAUGAUAGUAUUUGUUUUAUGAUGUAUAAUUUCCUAGAAUCCCUUUUCUUUUAUGUACGAACUAUGUUUGACUUAAAUUCUCAAGAAAGGGAUAUGCGGCAGCCUAUGUUGGCUUCGUUCAACCCAUUAGAUUUUUAUAUAUAUCCUUAGCAUAUUCCUGAACUAUAUUUGGCCUGAUUCCUGCUUCAAUGAGAUACGUAGGCGCCCCAACGACUCGAUCAUAUAACCCCAGAAAAUUAAAACUGGGGCAGAAUUUUCGAGAAGGGAUCUAAAAAAUUCACAAGAGAAAGAUCAUCAUCCAAUAAAGAGAAUGAAGACCAACAAAGAUUUCGGAUCCUCUCAAGCUGAGAUCAUCUCAAACAACAUUAAACUGGGGUAGAAGUUUUGAGGAAGGCCUCAAAAUUUUCACUAAAUACUGCAAUAUAUUUCAAAUUCCUCAGCACCAGAGGUCAAAGUCAAGCCUUGGAAGUCACCAACUGCGAUAAAGUCUAGGUAGACUAAAUCGUGGGCUAUGACAAAACUUUUGAUAGAAAGCCUCAACGACAAUGAACCCUUGGCAAUCUUCUGUCAAACGUCAGAUAUAGUCAGAACCAAGAGGAAAACGUUCGUUGAGCUAGUACAUGACAUGACUGACAGAGAUUUUCUAAAGCUUUUACAGAAUAUUUUAAAACUAGUUUCUAAAAAUUAAGACUACUUUAAAAAAUCAAUACAAAUAUUUUACUUGGUGAUUGCCUAGUCAUCUAUUGGAACGGGGAGCCGGAGUGGAAGUCCCAAUAUGACGAAGCACCCGAAAGAAGGCGAAGAGCAAACCAAGGAUCGAAGAAGGUCAACACUGAGUAGUUUCACUCAAAAACUAAUAUUUUUUUUCUGUGGAUGCAGGGAUCAAUACACAAAAAUGAGAAUCUUUUUCAAAAAUCCUCAAGCGGGUUGGGAGCCAGACCAUGCCCAAGAAUGGUACAGUCAAAGGAGACGAACCUAUAAGGCCACAAUCAAAGGAUCAUUUAAGAGAAGGAAGAACAAAAAGUCAUCCCCAUAUUUGCCAUGGGGUGACGCAAACGGUAUUUGAGAAGUCCUU
rnacentral:lncRNA from 1 species